AUACGGAAGGUCCGGGCGUUAUCCGGAUUUAUUGGGUUUCAAGGGAGCGCAGGCGGAGAUGCAAGCGUGACGUCAAAUUUCGGGGCUCAAACCCGUCUCGCGUCGCGAACUGCGUCCCUUGGUUGCGGGAAGGGGAGGCGGAACUCGUGGUGUAGCGGGGUAAUGCAUAGAUAUCACGAAGAACUCCGAUCGCGAAGGCAGCCUUCCGGCCCGUCAACGACGCUCAUGCUCGAAGGUGCGGGUAUCAAACAGGAUUAGAUACCCUGGUAGUCCGCACAGUAAACGAUGGACACCCGCGGUUUGGCCUGUAUGGCUGAGCCGCCAAGCGAAAGCGUUAAGUGUCCCACCUGGGGAGUACGCCGGCAACGGUGAAACUCAAAGGAAUUGACGGGG
rnacentral:rRNA from 1 species